rnacentral:lncRNA from 1 species
CAAAACUAUAUAAUCUUCAUAUUGCAUUCUCGUUCUUUCCCCCCAUAUAAUUUUCACAUUCACUUCUUCUAUUCUUGCUUCUAUUCUUUAUCAGAUGAUGUUCACUUUUCUUCUUUUUUCUCUUUUUCAAUUCCCCAUUCAUCGACGACCUCACGUUCUUGUUUGAAUUCUCUUUUAACUUCCUUAUCUCUGGGACUAUCUAAAAUUUUU